AUUGAACGCUGGCGGCAUGCUUUACACAUGCAAGUCGAACGGUAACAGGGUGCUUGCACCGCUGACGAGUGGCGAACGGGUGAGUAAUGCGUCGGAACGUGCCGAGUAGUGGGGGAUAACGCAGCGAAAGUUGUGCUAAUACCGCAUACGUACUGAGGUAGAAAGUGGGGGACCUUCGGGCCUCACGCUAUUCGAGCGGCCGACGUCUGAUUAGCUAGUAGGUGAGGUAAAGGCUCACCUAGGCGACGAUCAGUAGCGGGUCUGAGAGGAUGAUCCGCCACACUGGGACUGGGACACGGCCCAGACUCCUACGGGAGGCAGCAGUGGGGAAUUUUGGACAAUGGGCGAAAGCCUGAUCCAGCUAUGCCGCGUGUCUGAAGAAGGCCUUCGGGUUGUAAGGGACUUUUGUCAGGGAGGAAAUCCCUAGUGCUAAUAACACUGGGGGAUGACAGUACCUGAAGAAUAAGCACCGGCUAACUACGUGCCAGCCGCCGCCGUAAGAC
rnacentral:rRNA from 1 species